UACGGUAGGGUGCAAGCGUUGCUCGGAAUCAUUGGGCGUAAAGAGCGUGUAGGUGGCUAGAUAAGUCGGAUGUGAAAUCCCUCGGCUCAACCGGAGGAAGGGCAUUCGAAACUAUCUAGCUCGAGGAUGGCAGAGGAAGGUGGAAUUCCUAGUGUAGAGGUGAAAAUUCGUAGAUAUUAGGAGGAAUACCGGUGGCGAAGGCGGCCUUCUGGACCAUUCCUGACACUGAGACGCGAAAGCGUGGGUAGCAAACAGG
rnacentral:rRNA from 1 species